rnacentral:rRNA from 1 species
GACGAACGCUGGCGGCGUGCUUAACACAUGCAAGUCGAACGGAAAGGCCCUGCUUGCAGGGUGCUCGAGUGGCGAACGGGUGAGUAACACGUGGGUGAUCUGCCCCUUACUUUGGGAUAAGCCUGGGAAACUGGGUCUAAUACUGGAUAGGACCAUGCUGUAGGUGGUGUGGUGGAAAGAUUAGUUUCGGUAAGGGAUGAGCUCGCGGCCUAUCAGCUUGUUGGUGGGGUAAUGGCCUACCAAGGCGUCGACGGGUAGCCGGCCUGAGUGGGUGGGCGGCCAGAUUGAGACUGCGACAGGGCCCAGACGUCUGCGGGAGUCAGCAGUGGGGGAAAGUGUGACAGGGGAGCAAGGCUGAUGCAGCGACGGCGCGUGGAGGAUGACGGCCUUCGGGUUGUAAACUACUUUCGGCCAUGACGAAGCGCUUGUGGUGACGGUAGUUGUAGAAGAAGCACCGGCUAACUACGUG